rnacentral:snRNA from 1 species
CAGUACAGAGAAGACUAGCAUGGCCCCUGCACAGGGAUGACAUAUAACUUUAUGCAGCUUUCCAUAUUUUC